AAGAUUUAGGGUGUUUGGCUGGUUUAAAUAUUCAUACAUGACAUUCGGGCUCAAUAUUGAGCAUCCAGUCCAUCAGGCAAAACUGGGUCUCAGCCAAUGUCAGGUAAAAGGCUCGACAUCGUGCGGUAUUCGGGAUCCUCGUUCUAUCGCCCGACACCCGCGCUCGAUUCCUCACGGACACGUUUUAUUUUACCUUCUCCCUUCUAAUUCCUCACGCGCAGACCUGAGGGCUCCGUCCCGAGACUCCCGAGCCCGCCUCCUCGUUCAGUCCUUCUCCAUGCGAGCGGCGCCGGCGGAGGCUCCCCGGCGACCGGCUCAGGCGACCCGGCGCUCUCCUCCCUCGUCCGCGCCGCAACCCUAUUACAAGACUGCGCCGCUGCCGCCCUCGUCCAAGGCGCAAUCGAGGCCGAUUCCGUCCGGAAUCGGGGCCGCCGGCCCUCAAGCCUGCCCGACGCGAGGAGGGACGAGGGAGUGGAGGCGGUGAGUCCUCUUCGUCGUCAGCUAGCGGCAGCGGCUGGCCAGGCGAGGGCGGCGGCGGAUGCGGGCGCGGCGGCCGACGGCGGUGCGCGAAGGGAGCGGCAGCUAGCGGCCGAAUCGGCGGGCAUGGAGGAGCUGCGUGGAGAAAACGAAGAACAUGAGGUCGCAGAUUUCACGGACCCGAAGCUGCUGGCCAUUCUUCAGGAACUGGACCCUGCACCUGUAGAUAAUUCAAGCAACCGCUGAUGCUUGCUGCUGCUAACUGGAUGAUGAACAACUCUGUUACUUGAAGCUGCUGUUAUCAUCCUGAUUUCUCGUAGUGUCACACACGAACACGAUGAUGAACAACUCUGUUACUCUUGUCUUUUUGGGUGGUCCAGAUUUACUCCAGAAUUUGUCUACACUUGUUUAUGUGAACGAAUAAAGAUCUAAGCUACGUGGUAGCAAGGAAGGAUUACUGGGAUUUGAUAAAUGAAACAUUUUGGUACGUGCAUAAAAUUAUAAUGCUCGUACUCAUCCAAA